ensembl:lncRNA
GCCUAAUGGACAGAAGAGAGGAGGAGGAGAAGAGAGAUGGACCAAAGUACCAAAGAAUCUCAGACAGGAAAAGACCUGGCUUAUGAAAUGAGGGUCGACUUUCAACAAGCGGUUUCUUGUCAAGAGCAACCAUGAAACAAGCAGGCAGAAACACAACGCAGGCAUAAGACAUUUCAGGCGAGAGAGCCACAUCUGAGCCGAAAAGCUGGGAGGCUGAUGACAAGAGAGCUGGUGUUGACAAGGAGCACUUCCUGGCCACAGGCGAUCAAUUCCCCUAUCAGAGGCGUUCUUCAGACAGAAUAGGUUUGGAAUGAACAAUUUCCCAGCUUGCCUCUGAAGUCCAUGGCCUCUUGUCGUCUGUGCUCAAUGUUAUCUAAUCUCAAGCAGUAGGGCUUUAAAAUCCUUCUGAAUGGGCCAACGCACUUCAGAUUACAGUCUGCCCUGUCUGUUGUCUAGAUUUUCUUCCAAACUUCCACUUGGAGCCGUAAGUACCAUUAGCCUCUCCACUGUCACCCCUCAAUAAGACAGAUAAGACUCACUGGGAGGAUGUCAGCAAUGGACGCACAAAGAUGGGCUCCACCUGUGUCAGUUUCCACCCUUAUCCUUCCUGAGACAUACUGGCUCUUGCUUGGCUAUUUUUACCCUAUCUCCUCCAGUAACAGCCUAAACUAAGGGGUCGCUGUCGAUUUAUUGGCAUCCACACAAGUGUAACCACACCAAUGGCCUCCUUCAAGCUACAAGUGAAAGGAAACGCAAGUGCCGAACAGCCAGGGGAUAUGGGCAGGACCAGUCAAUCAUCAUCAGAAGUGAGGGGCGGUAAUAAGAAUGUGGGGAAAUUCCACACUUCCUCACAAAUGAAUUUAAAAUUUCCAGCAGCAAUGAGGCUUGUCGGGAAGAUAAAAGGCAGCAGGAAACCGUGGCCUCAGGAUGGAGAGUGUGGAUGGAGUACAUAAUUUGUUCAGAGCGAACGAGAGAGAGAAAGACAAGUGCAGAGGAGGAGCACUGAAGAAAGAGAAAGGUGGA